UGGGAGAGGGUACAGAGAAGGUGGCUGCCUUGGAUGCUGUGAGUUUCUGUUUCCUUCCUCAUUAGUGUCUUUCUUACUGAGAAAAUCUCUUUACCUUGAAGUAACUUGACUGAAUCUUUGACUGGUUCCCUUUUGCCAAGUGAACCCAAGAAAGAAAAGGAAAGAAAGGACAAGGAACCCAGCAUCCACUGAGGACCUGCUGUGUGGCAGGACAGUGCUGGGAGCCCCGCACACAUGCAGUCCUUGAGGACUGAUUGAGCAGCUCCGGGUGAUGGGGGCACAGGUACCAUGUUGUUCAGCAGAGCUCUAGAACUUACUCAUCUCACAUAACCAAAUUUUAUACCCAUUGAGCAAGAUUUCUCCAGGUCCCUUUCGCCCAGCUCCUGGAAACUGCCAUUCUAUUCUCUGCUUCUAUGAGUCUGACUAUUUUGAUACCCCAGGCUCAAGUCUUCAAGGACUAGGCUAGAGGCUGACCUGAGUGACCAGCACCAAGUGGUCCUCCAAGCUGUCCUUCCUCCUGGACGUCCCCGGAGAGGCUCUCAACGCUCUCGGACCAAGACCUCUUGCCUUUCUCUUGGGAUGAACUAUUUCUCAUUCUUAGUCUCUCACACCAGUGGACUCCUGGGAUCCCAGCCCAUAAGAUGUGCCUGAAUCUCCCCUCUGCAAACACCCCACUGUGCACAAGUGUUGUUAUCCUCAUGUUGUGAGUGGGGAAACUGAGGCCCUGAAUGUCGGAUGACUUGCUCGAGGUCACUAAGAGUCUCCAGAUCCCUAACACUGAGUCAGCCCUAUGCUCACCACACAACAUUGUGUUACACACCACCUCACUGUUGUGGCCAAAAGUUAUGCUUUGAGAUCAUCAUCUUGCUCUGUCCAGGGACCCGCAGGCUGUUCUGAGGUUGGACUAUGGUGGUUCCCAUGCAGGCCCAGCAUCAGAAUUGCCUGUGAAACAUUGAGAAGCUCAGGUGCCAGAGCCCAAGCCCAGGGAGUUCUGGCUCACUAAAUCCAGGUGGGCCCAGGUGCACAGGUAUCUGUAGAGUCAAUUCUCAUUCUCACGGUAGUCAUGUUUUAUAAAGUUUCUGUGAACACUGAAUUAGCAGAUACUGAACCUUUGCUCCCAGGGGAAACAGGGUUAGAUUCCUGUGUCUCUGGUUACAACCAAUACAUAGCCUUGUUUCA